AUGUCGGGCGACGCGGCGGAGGCGCAGAGAGCGAGGGCCGCCAACGGCAGCGGCGGCGGCGGGAGCAGCAACCGGAUUCAGGUGUCCAACACCAAGAAACCCCUCUUCUUCUACGUCAACCUCGCCAAGAGGUACAUGCAGCAGCACGGCGAGGUCGAGCUCUCCGCGCUCGGCAUGGCCAUAGCAACGGUCGUGACAGUGGCAGAGAUUCUGAAGAACAAUGGUUUCGCGUUCGAGACAAGGAUUAGGACAUCCACUGUGGAAAUCAAGGAUGAGAUGAGAGGGCGGCCAAUCCAAAAGGCCAAGAUUGAGAUAGUGCUGCGGAAGAGCGACAAGUUUGAUGAGUUGAUGGCCACGGCUGCGGCGGAGGAGGCAGCAGAAGACGAGGAGGAGCAGACCUAG
rnacentral:rRNA from 1 species